CAGGCGCGCUGCGUGGGGGUUGGGGGUCGGGGCCUCCCGUGGGCGCGCAGGCGUGGUGCAGGCCGAGUGGGCGGGGACAGGCUUUUUUCAGGGCUCCGGGUGGGGUUGGGCUGGAUUUCAGGCGGAGUUGGGGAGGUGUCGUGUCGGCUAGCUGGCGUGGAGACUGCUUUAAGAGAUCAAGCACCUUGUCCUGGGAGCUUAAAUGUUGUAGCAGUUACAGUUUUUAGUGCAAAGGUUUGUGUGUAUUUCUUUAAGGAACUCCAUUUUUCCUCAGGCUAAGUAGGGACUGAGGUUACUGCUUUUCUUCGCCCUUUGCGGUGGCCGGGCUAUUAUUAGCAGUGUGACUAAACCUGGUUGAAUUUCAGAUGCAUCUCCAGAAGCUGGUCCUCUGUAGUCUGCUGGGCUGGGAUCUGCUGAAUGGAGCUCGGGAAUUGGGUCAUGGCCACCAUCAGCGAAUGCUUCCCGAGGCCUUCUGCACAAGUUCUGGUGUGUCAAGCUGCCUCUGUGCAUUUUCUGAAUGGAAGGAUAUAAUUAUUACCCAGCUUUUUCCUAGAAUGGCAAUAAUUAGCUUCAAAUUAGAUAAUAAUGAUUUAUGAAUAAGAUAAACACAGGAUUUUUUAUAGCCUGUUGUAUUGGGCUCAUGGGGUUUUGGCAGUGGGGGAGCCUUUGUGAGAAGGGACCGGGGCUCCUGUGUGAGUCAAAGCCAGCUCCAGACAGCAGUCAGACCUGCUGCUGGCCGAGAUGGAGACCAUCGGCAGCACUGGUGGUGCCUCUGUAAUAAUGUAUUUUAAAAAAGAGAAAGGUAAGUAUGUAAAUGUGAGAGAUCAGCCCUCCAGCCCCCAAAGUGAGCACAGAAGAUAAUGCUCCAAGUGCAGAGCAGCAGCUCCCUGCAGGCCAGGAGAGGCCCACGGAGGAGCAGGCUGUCCCCUGCAGCCCGUGGGCACCACACGAAGCCAAUAUCCACGUGCGGACGUGAAGGAGCCUGCAGUGCAGUAGUGGGUGAGGCCUGAGGGAGGCACAGCCCAUGGAGAGCCCUGCAGGUAGAGCUGCAGCCUGUGGGUCCCGUUCUGGAGGAGUCCGCCAUGAUGGACAAUGACCUGAAAAGUCCCUCGCAGCCUCAGCCUUUAUGCAAUUCCAUGAUCUGCUCUUCACAGGACAAAGAAUAAGCAAUCCCUCCACUGCCCAAAAUAUUAGCACAGCAAUCUUGACAGCCGUCAGCUAGCCUUGAAGAUCUACUAAAAAAACUGCUUACUGUUGAUGACAUGGUCUGCCAGGAUGACAAGUCACUUGCAGGAUACAGUGUUGUCCUGUGUUACAGAACAACUACUGACAGCCUUUUCAAUCCCAUACUGGAGUUCGGGCAAGUAAAUCUACUGAUAAUCAGAAAUGUCUUCGACAUUUUUUCUGUUUUUGUCUUUAUCAAAAACCUCUGUAUUCCAGGAUCAAAUGAAGUCAUGUAACUUUAGGCAUUCUGACAUCAUUCCAUUUAUUUUCAUCUUCAUAAAUGCAGUGUUUAAUGCUGUCUCUUCCAUGUUGCAGUCAGUAUUUUGAAAAUGGCUUAAGUUCAAAGAAACAAGAAUGGUGGUGAAUAAAACAGGAUGGACUGUGAACCUCACUUUAUCCCCUAAACCAGAAUUCCAUUAAUUGUACAGAGAUGUCAAAAUUAAUGAAUUAUUUUAGAAUGCACUCGUAACUGCAGUACAAGCACUCACUGCAGGAUGUCUUGUUUCUGAAUCUCUCAGAGGUCUGUGAUUUUUAUCUCUUCAGAAUCAGCUGAAUCAUAGUGCAACAACAGUCUGUUUGCACAACCGUUUCCCUCAGGACAAGGUGAAGUGUAUAUAUAUCCUAACCUACUUCAGUUACGCAAGCAACAAUAUAGUGAAUACUGGAAAGUGUAAUAAUCUUACAUUAAUAAAUCCAUAGUACUGAGGAAGGUGUGCAAAUUGCUUAAAUUAUUUGAAACUCAGAGUUAAAACCACCCCUGAAUUUCCCUUUUGAUCAUUGCAUGCUAUAAAAUCCCUGAGGUCUGCUUGGCAGAAAUACAUUUUAGCUUAAUUUAAACCUAGUUUUUGCAGUUCCAUGAACAAACUAGAGAAUAAACGCAUUCUUUUUGCCAUCAUCAAAUGUGUUGUGGUGCUUUGAUGAAAUAGAAACUUUCAAAGUCCGGUAGGCUUCUGCGCAAUCUCUUAAUGGGAAUGACUCUGAUCUUCAGGUUUUAUUCAGUAGAUCCCUAAUGUGAACUGCACCUUACACCCAUUAGAUGGGAACUGCUCUCUCUUGCUGAUGUUUGCUGGCAGGAAUUAGCAGUUGCUCACAGCUCUACCAUCAAAUAUCUAUUUUUUUUAUGCCUAAAUAAUUAUAAAAAUCUGGCCCUAUACGUGAAUGAUUAACAGAAGAGAAACCACAAAGUAGGAGUUUCCUACCUUAACUGAAGAGCAGAUAUACGCCAAAGCAGAGAAAUGUAUAACUUAGUCUGUAAUAGCAAGGAUGAUAAUUAAGCCAAAAUAUAUUCUGCCCACAAUUUGUCUCUCUUUUACUGUAAAUGUGUACAAGUAAGAGGUACAUAUGCAGAUGUUUUUAGGUGCAGAGUCCUGACUGCAAGAGUAAGAGCGAUACUUCACUAUUUGCACUGAGAUCCUAUACCUGUAUUAGAAAGCAAGAACCUCAAUCUUUCUGCUUCACCUACAGGCAUUUCUAAUGAGAUCAGUUACGAAUCAUAUAGAUAUUUGACAACAUAAUCUGGAGGCACAUUGCAUACAACAUAAAAUAUUUUUCUUAAUCAGAUCUAAGACUAUAAUACUUGAAGUUAUAAUUCGUUGAUGUAAUUAUUUCUAUUUCAGAUGUUAUUUUCAAAUACUGAAGUCCUUUUUAAGUUCCUUACUCAUACUUAAUCUCUCUAACCGAUAACAUUACCCUACAGUAACUAAUUUACAAACCUUAUCCUGUAAUUUUGCUGUAAGGAAAAAUCUGUAGUGGAUAGAACACUUGAAACUGUAACAAUCAAUUAAUUCCAAGGGAAGCCCGGGUUUUUGCCAAAGAAUGAGUCAGUUUUCAUUGUAGUUCCUUUGCUCAGGCCUUUAAGUAUCAAAACCUUUAGAUCUCUUACAAUCAUGUGAUUAAAAAAAAAGCUCAUUAAAAAUAAGAAUUUUGCUGUUUUCAAUAACUGCAUUUCACUGCUUUUGGAAUUUCUGUGGGACUUUGGGGAAAUGGGAUCAGGACAUGAUAAAAUUACAGUAAUGUCUUUUGCUUUAAAUGUAGUAGCUAGCAUGAAAAUGCUUUUUGUCAAUCUGCACAGGAUUCUCUUUUUCCAGUACAGUUUCCUCACAGUAGAUGAAAUCUGGAGCAGAAAACAGCAUAAGGCAUGAACCUCAAUAUUUUAUCAGAUACUCACAGCUGCCGAUGGUAGAUCAGCAUUUUUCUGUAGAAGACACACAUUUGUUUUGCCAAGUUGUCUUGGAUGUCGUGGAGUUACUAUGACUAAUAAAUUUAAUCGGUGAGGAAUUUGAAGCUGAAAUCAUCAUAAACAGAACAGUGUGACAUAUUCUUCUCAUAAUGGGCAGUACUUUCUUGUAAGAAUAUGUCUUACCUGUUUCAUGUGAACUUAGUGAUAGUGUCUGCAUAUCAUUGUUUGGAACAGAUUUCAUACACAUUUACUUUGAAGUUUCUUCUUCUUGUGUUGUUAUGGUGGCUGCAAAAUCUGAGUGGAAUAAAGAUUCCUUUGCAAAUGUCCCAGGAAUUCAGAAAUACCAUGCUUAGGGUUUUGCUGUGUACCAAAUCCAUGUGAUUGAAUUAAUGUUUUUCCAUUUAAUUUUUUGUUAUUAUUGUUGCUGUAUUUUACCUAAUUGAUUAUUAUUAAUAAUUAUGCUUUUGUUUCAUAAUCAGCAAGCAACAUUUUGAACAUUCUUCAAAGUUUUUUUUUAAUUAAUGCAGGACAUUCCCGUAGAUGUUAGAGAUACCAGCCAGAUUCUUAAAAUAUUCACUGGUCUUGAUAGUUUAGGAGGAUUAAAGACUCUGGAAAUCUUUUCUGAAGUCAAGACAUCUCUUGGCAAUUUGGAACUUCUGUCCUGUGAAUUUGCACUUCUGUUGAAAUUCUUUUUUUUUUUUUCACUAGAUGGGCUUAUUGCAGUGUUUGUUUGAUUUUAGUCUUCUACAUAAUUUUCUGAAGGAUUAUCAGGGUUGAUAGAAACCUGUUUAGAAAUGAUGUGUGGAAAAUAAUCAUGAAAAAGCAGGAGAAGUACUGUUAAAAGUUCUGGUUUUAUUUCCACUAAAUGUAUUUGAAGCAGACAGCACAGAUACUGUAUGGUCAGCAGAAAAUGCACUAAAUGAAAUUGCGGUCUGAAAAGCAAUAGACGAGACAUUUUUGUAAUGUAUUUGGCAUAUUGACAGAUCUUCUAAUUGAUUAAAAGAACUGAUGGAGUACUACAUUUAAAAUUACAUGUGCUCUUUUGAUAUAAAUAAAUGCAGUUUACAGAA